GAAAACUUUACCUUUGGCUCUGUUAAGUCAUUUUUUCCCCCUAUUCAGUUUCCAUUGUUUAAGACUGGGGCUGAUCUUUCCAAUAUUGCUGCUAAUCUAACUUCAAAGGGAUGCCGGUAUGUUAAAACACUUUUUAAUUGUGAUAAGGAAUACGCUUUCAUGCUUAAACCCCUUCUCCUCUGUUCAUCUGGACAGAACCCACAAAUGCAGAGGCUGUUUUUUCACUGGCAAUUAAAAUUAGAAUUGGUCACAUUUUUCACUGUCAGCCAUUUCCUUUGCACACAAAGACAUGCGGGCCAUACAAGCGUGCGCGUACAGACAUAUGCAAACCCAGAUACUACCAUACAAUACACAUGGUGUUUUUGCUCAAUUGAACCAUAUCUAAAAUAGCUUGCAUGAAGACCAUUAAAGAAGAAAAAAAAAUCCUCCUCAAAACUAAAACAACCCUUAAGACCGUGCGGGUCUGGUAGGGCUGAUGAUUCACCACAAGCUUCCCUGUUACUUCUAUGAGACAUGCGAUGCAGGCUGCGCCUUGUUGUCCAGAGAUAACAGAUUAACAUGAUUGCUGAGUGAAUCAUUUGCACUCUAGUGCUUUUGACAUGGAAGAUUCUUGAGGCUUUGAUACUUGCACAAUAUUUUGAAGCAGUGGAGCAGUAAGAUGUAAUUCUGUUGUGACAAAAUCAAUUUGGAUAAAAGCACAAUGUAAAAAGCAAGAGUGGCAUGAAAAUGAAGUAUUGGUUACAGCUGAUAGGGAAAUUGCCUAUUUUGCCUCAGAGCUUAGAAUAUGAGUACAUCUUCAUUUUUUUGUCAUCAGAAGAGUGAAAAUUUGAAGAAGGGGAAAAAAACAAAUAUACUGUUCUUGCUGCCCAACGCAGUCACGUGAUGGGUUUUUGUGUUUUAGGUCCAGGAUGCAUUUAAAUGUAAGUCUGUAAUGUAAAUGUACCUUAAGAAGCGAUAAAUAUGCACCCCAACAAAUCAAAGUUUUUUAAAAUAUACAUGAAGUAGCUCAGAGUUCUGCGAGAAUAGUUGUAGUCUGGAGAGAUGUGUCCUUAUGUCUUUGCUUAAGGCCCAUGUUGAACAGGGACAUUUGUCAUACUUAAAAAUUAAAUUUCCUCUGUUGCAGCUUAUAUGAUAUGUGAAAAAGUGUAAGAGGUGGGUCAGUGGAUCCUUCUUUUCAAGGUUCAUCAAAAACUCUUCUAGUGACAAAGAGCUGUUUUUUUCCACUAGAACUCCAUGAACAACAGAAUCUGUCAGUAAGAAAAUACCAGUAAUUUAUCUGACCCUUGCUGAGCAAGCAAGACACAAACUUGCAGAAAUACGAUGUAUUACUGCUCCCCCUACAGUCAACUCACAGUUAGACAGAUAGCCACUUAUAUUUGAGUGGUGAUGAUGUGUCUGUUUGUCACACGAAAACAGACACACACACAGACACAAAAAAAAAUCGGCACAGUCCUGUGACCACCCACCAAACUUCAGCUUGUACCAUCUCCUGUAGGCUGCAAGAAUGCUGGAAAGACAAAGGCAGCACUUUGGACAGCUGAGGCAGGUUCAGGUGUGGGCCAAUAACUUGCCUGUAGUGGAAAAGUCCUUUUGUGACUUUGCAGUCGAGACAGGCAGCUCUGUUCUUCGCUGCAGCAGCACUCACAUUUCACACUCAGUUUGAACAUUUGCAGUAUGUCAAAAAUCCUGACUGAGUGUCUCGCUGACAUGACUUAGACAAGGAUUUGUUUCUGCAUUUGAGGAACAAAUUACUAGUGACGGCACAGAAGCAGAACCUUCUUGAAUCCAUGUCCACUCCGUCUAGAUUCUUGUUUUUCAGUCUGAACCAGUUAUGUGCAUGUGCGGUUGUGUAUGUGCUUAAGUGUGUUCAUGUCUGUGCUUGUUUUCCUGUGAGAUUUAUUUGCAUGUGUGACUGCGCGUGUGACCCAGUGUGGCUGCGUGACCCGAUUGUGAGUCUACAGUACUCGGCAGAGUGAGUGAGUGCUGAUCUACACAGAAGCUUACAGGAAACUGAAGAAGACGGGUGAGGUUAAAGAGGACAGCACGAUGGAAAAAACAAGAAUAAAAGCAGUCAGUGUUAAAUAUUAACCUUUUUGGAACAUUUUGAGCAUUUUCAUCAGUAAAAGUUCUCAUAUAUAGCUGUUUGUCAUCGCCUUCAACUGCAAGAAUUUGAUUUUAAAAAUAAGGGUAUCGUGUAGCGGUUUGAGAGUCUAAGUUAGAACCUUAGAAUAUGCAAUCACAUCUGUAAGAGUUACAUUUCGCAGCUCUUUGUAUCACUGACUGCAAAAUAAAGUUUGAUAACAAAUCUGUAUUUGUGUUAUUACUAUGUUGUAUGGAAAUGAAGAAAAAAAAAUAAUGACAGCACUUUUUAAAAUGCUUUUUUGUAAAUCUGUUUUAUAAAAAACAAUAUGUCUGCACAAGGGCCUGUAAUUAAAAGGGAAAAGGGCCUCAGUGUGGCAUUUCCUGUGUGCUAUAGGAACAUCACUGUGGAUUUUAUGUGAAACAUUCAGAAGUGGUGGAUGUCACAACAGUCAUAGCCACUAACCUGUGCUAGUCUGGUAAAACACGCUGAAAGCCAGUUGAUGUUGAGUCCCUCACAGGGAUGAAAGUCACUAUUGUCUAUGCUUCUGUGCACACGUCUGUGUGCGUGUGUGCGCAUGUGUGUUUGUCUGCCCUUACACUGAGCUGAAGAGAAAGUAGUUUCAAAGGGAG
ensembl:lncRNA